GGCGGGCCUAACACAUGCAAGUCGAACGAGAAUGUAGGCUUCGGUCUACUAGUAAAGUGGCGGACGGGUGCGUAACACGUGGGUAAUCUACCUUCCGGCGGGGGACAACAGUCCGAAAGGAUUGCUAAUACCGCAUACGUCAGCGAGGCCUACGGGCCUUGUUGGGAAAGAUGGCCUCUCCUUGGAAGCUGUCUCCGGAAGAUGAGCCCGCGGCCCAUCAGCUAGUUGGUGAGGUAAUGGCUCACCAAGGCUUAGACGGGUAGCUGGUCUGAGAGGAUGAUCAGCCACACUGGGACUGCGACACGGCCCAGACUCCUACGGGAGGCAGCAGUGGGGAAUAUUGGGCAAUGGGCGAAAGCCUGACCCAGCCACGCCGCGUGAGUGAUGAAGGCCUUCGGGUCGUAAAGCUCUGUGGGGAGGGACGAAUAAGCUCGGUGCUAACAUCACCGGGCCCUGACGGUACCUCCUUAGCAAGCACCGGCUAACCCUGUGCCAGCAGCCGCGGUAAUACAGGGGGUGCAAACGUUGCUCGGAAUUAUUGGGCGUAAAGCGCAC
rnacentral:rRNA from 1 species